UUGAUCCUGGCUCAGGAUGAACGCUAGCUACAGGCUUAACACAUGCAAGUCGAGGGGCAGCAUGGUCUUAGCUUGCUAAGGCCGAUGGCGACCGGCGCACGGGUGAGUAACACGUAUCCAACCUGCCGUCUACUCUUGGACAGCCUUCUGAAAGGAAGAUUAAUACAAGAUGGCAUCAUGAGUCCGCAUGUUCACAUGAUUAAAGGUAUUCCGGUAGACGAUGGGGAUGCGUUCCAUUAGAUAGUAGGCGGGGUAACGGCCCACCUAGUCUUCGAUGGAUAGGGGUUCUGAGAGGAAGGUCCCCCACAUUGGAACUGAGACACGGUCCAAACUCCUACGGGAGGCAGCAGUGAGGAAUAUUGGUCAAUGGGCGAGAGCCUGAACCAGCCAAGUAGCGUGAAGGAUGACUGCCCUAUGGGUUGUAAACUUCUUUUAUAAAGGAAUAAAGUCGGGUAUGGAUACCCGUUUGCAUGUACUUUAUGAAUAAGGAUCGGCUAACUCCGUGCCAGCAGCCGCGGUAAUACGGAGGAUCCGAGCGUUAUCCGGAUUUAUUGGGUUUAAAGGGAGCGUAGAUGGAUGUUUAAGUCAGUUGUGAAAGUUUGCGGCUCAACCGUAAAAUUGCAGUUGAUACUGGAUAUCUUGAGUGCAGUUGAGGCAGGCGGAAUUCGUGGUGUAGCGGUGAAAUGCUUAGAUAUCACGAAGAACUCCGAUUGCGAAGGCAGCCUGCUAAGCUGCAACUGACAUUGAGGCUCGAAAGUGUGGGUAUCAAACAGGAUUAGAUACCCUGGUAGUCCACACGGUAAACGAUGAAUACUCGCUGUUUGCGAUAUACAGCAAGCGGCCAAGCGAAAGCGUUAAGUAUUCCACCUGGGGAGUACGCCGGCAACGGUGAAACUCAAAGGAAUUGACGGGGGCCCGCACAAGCGGAGGAACAUGUGGUUUAAUUCGAUGAUACGCGAGGAACCUUACCCGGGCUUAAAUUGCAGAUGAAUUACGGUGAAAGCCGUAAGCCGCAAGGCAUCUGUGAAGGUGCUGCAUGGUUGUCGUCAGCUCGUGCCGUGAGGUGUCGGCUUAAGUGCCAUAACGAGCGCAACCCUUGUUGUCAGUUACUAACAGGUUCCGCUGAGGACUCUGACAAGACUGCCAUCGUAAGAUGUGAGGAAGGUGGGGAUGACGUCAAAUCAGCACGGCCCUUACGUCCGGGGCUACACACGUGUUACAAUGGGGGGUACAGAGGGCCGCUACCACGCGAGUGGAUGCCAAUCCCCAAAACCUCUCUCAGUUCGGACUGGAGUCUGCAACCCGACUCCACGAAGCUGGAUUCGCUAGUAAUCGCGCAUCAGCCACGGCGCGGUGAAUACGUUCCCGGGCCU
rnacentral:rRNA from 1 species